ACCGUGUACGUACAAGCAGUGGGAGCACAGGUUUACCUGUGUGACUGCGUACCUUUUGUAUAAUGGGUCAGCGACUUAUAUUCUGUAGCAAGGUUAACCGAAUAGGAGAGCCGGAGGGAAACCGAGUCUUAAUUGGGCGUUAAGUUGCAGGGUAUAGACCCGAAACCCGGUGAUCUAGCCAUGGGCAGGUUGAAGGUUGGGUAACACUAACUG
rnacentral:rRNA from 1 species